GACGAACGCUGGCGGCGUGCUUAACACAUGCAAGUCGAACGGAAAGGCCCUGCUUUUGUGGGGUGCUCGAGUGGCGAACGGGUGAGUAACACGUGAGUAACCUGCCCUUGACUUUGGGAUAACUUCAGGAAACUGGGGCUAAUACCGGAUAGGAGCUCCUGCUGCAUUGUGGGGGUUGGAAAGUUUCGGCGGUUGGGGAUGGACUCGCGGCUUAUCAGCUUGUUGGUGGGGUAGUGGCUUACCAAGGCUUUGACGGGUAGCCGGCCUGAGAGGGUGACCGGCCACAUUGGGACUGAGAUACGGACCAGACUCCUACGGGAGGCAGCAGUGGGGAAUAUUGCACAAUGGGCGGAAGCCUGAUGCAGCAACGCCGCGUGCGGGAUGACGGCCUUCGGGUUGUAAACCGCUUUCGCCUGUGACGAAGCGUGAGUGACGGUAAUGGGUAAAGAAGCACCGGCUAACUACGUG
rnacentral:rRNA from 1 species